rfam:Oryza barthii chromosome 9, whole genome shotgun sequence.
AAUAAGUGUAGUUUUGUAUUGGUUAUGUUUAACAUUUGAUAGUUCAUCUUAUUCAAAAAAAAUUAUGAUUAAUUUUUUAUUGUUAUUAGAUGAUAAAACAUGAAUAGUGAUUAUUUUUUUUAUAAAUUUUAUAAAUAAGACGGACGGUUAAACGUUGGAUACGGAUAUUCAUGGCUGCACUUAUU